UACGAAGGGGGCUAGCGUUGCUCGGAAUCACUGGGCGUAAAGCGCACGUAGGCGGAUCGUUAAGUCAGGGGUGAAAUCCUGGAGCUCAACUCCAGAACUGCCUUUGAUACUGGCGAUCUUGAGUUCGGGAGAGGUGAGUGGAACUGCGAGUGUAGAGGUGAAAUUCGUAGAUAUUCGCAAGAACACCAGUGGCGAAGGCGGCUCACUGGCCCGAUACUGACGCUGAGGUGCGAAAGCGUGGGGAGCAAAAGGG
rnacentral:rRNA from 1 species